UACGGAGGAUCCAAGCGUUAUCCGGAUUUAUUGGGUUUAAAGGGUGCGUAGGCGGCCUGUUAAGUCAGAGGUGAAAGACGGUAGCUCAACUAUCGCAGUGCCUUUGAUACUGACGGGCUUGAAUAAACUAGAGGUAGGCGGAAUGAGACAAGUAGCGGUGAAAUGCAUAGAUAUGUCUCAGAACACCGAUUGCGAAGGCAGCUUACUAUGGUUUAUUGACGCUGAGGCACGAAAGCGUGGGGAUCAAACAGG
rnacentral:rRNA from 1 species